rnacentral:rRNA from 1 species
CCCUUAGAUGUUCUGGGCUGCACGCGCGCUACACUGACGCACGCAACAGGUGCCUGCUCCGAGAGGACUGGGUAAUCAUUUGAGUGUGCGUCGUGAUGGGGAUAGAAUAUUGUAAUUAUUACUCUUCAACGAGGAAUUCCUAGUAAGCGCCAGUCAGCAGCUUGCGCUGAUUACGUCCCUGCCCUUUGUACACACCGCCCGUCGCUCCUACCGAUGGGUGAUCCGGUGAAUGAUUCGGACUUCAGCAGCUCCCCUGGGGUGCGCCGGAGAAAGUUUUGUGAACCUUAUCACUUGGAGGAAGGAGAAGUCGUAACA